UGGCUUGUGCAAAAUUUUCCCAAUCACAUGACGGGCGGCGGUAUUGAAUUUGGAGAGGUGAAGGGCAAACAGAAGAUUUACUCAACCACUUUCGCUUCAAUUGCUCUCCCUUUUCCCAUGCAUAUUGUUUUUCUUCUUCUAUAAACCCUACCUUUCGGCUUUUCUAUUCCGGAUUCCCUUGGAUGCUACGCACUCUCCUAUUUCGUUGUCCUCAUAAGAGUUAGAGCUACCUGCUAGAUACCUACUCGCCUGUUUGUGUGAGACUCGCUGCCUCGGAAUGCUAUGCGAAGGGGAGUUGUUCCAAACCUUGCUCACCUUCAAACCAUGCAUCAAAUCAAUAAGUAAAGACCACAC